rnacentral:rRNA from 1 species
AGUCAAGUGCGAUAUUUAGUGCGAUUUGCACGAUCUGUGAGUCAUCGAGUCUUUGAACGCAACUUGCGCCCUUCUGGGGCAUGUCUGUUUGAGCAUCAAUAACCAAAUGCAAGCUUAUUGCGAGGUGCUAGUCCAGUAUGGUCUGGUGGAAUGUAGAAAAUAUAUCAUGUGUUGGAUGGUGACUUGAAGCCAGAGACGCGCAAGUCUAAAGACGCAAGUCCUUAUUCAAGUGUCUUGUUCAAGUCUCCAACUCCUAACACACUAAUCGAUCUCAAAUCAGGCAAGAUUACCCGCUGAACUUAA